rnacentral:rRNA from 1 species
UACGUAGGGCGCAAGCGUUGUCCGGAAUUAUUGGGCGUAAAGAGCUCGUAGGCGGUUUGUUGCGUCGGCUGUGAAAACCCGGGGCUUAACCCUGGGCUUGCAGUGGAUACGGGCAGACUAGAGGCAGGUAGGGGAGAAUGGAAUUCCCGGUGUAGCGGUGAAAUGCGCAGAUAUCGGGAGGAACACCGGUGGCGAAGGCGGUUCUCUGGGCCUGACCUGACGCUGAGGAGCGAAAGCGUGGGGAGCGAACAGG